AGAAUCAACGCUGGCGGCGUGCCUAACACAUGCAAGUCGCACGAGAAAGGGGAGCAAUCCCUGAGUAAAGUGGCGCACGGGUGAGUAACACGUGAAUUAUCUACCUCCGAGUGGGGAAUAACCUAGAGAAAUCUGGGCUAAUACCGCAUAACACUUACGAGUCAAAGCAGCAAUGCGCUUGGAGAGGAGUUCGCGGCCGAUUAGUUAGUUGGCGGGGUAAUGGCCCACCAAGACGAUGAUCGGUAUCCGGCCUGAGAGGGCGCACGGACACACUGGAACUGAAACACGGUCCAGACUCCUACGGGAGGCAGCAGUGGGGAAUUUUGCGCAAUGGGGGAAACCCUGACGCAGCAACGCCGCGUGGAGGAUGAAAUAUCUUGGUAUGUAAACUCCUUUCGAUGGGGAAGAUUAUGACGGUACCCAUAGAAGAAGCCCCGGCUAACUUCGUGCCAGCAGCCGC
rnacentral:rRNA from 1 species